CUGCUGCUGACGUGUCGUAUACUAGGACGAAACGGCCUUCCAGUAC
rnacentral:hammerhead_ribozyme from 1 species